GGGAAUGUGGCUUAGUGGUAGAGUGUUUGCCUAGCAUGCAUGAAGCCUUGGGUUCAAUUCCCCAGUACUG
rnacentral:tRNA from 1 species